rnacentral:rRNA from 1 species
GGGUGCCCAGGCGCGAAAACUCCACACUGUACGACAGUACGAUGGGGUUAUCUCGAGUGCAGUCCGAUAAGGGCUGCUUUUCCAUAGAGUAAUAUCCUGUGGGAAUAAGAGGGGGGCAAGACUGGUGUCAGCCGCCGCGGUAACACCAGCCCCUCGAGUGGUGGGGACUAUUAUUUGGUCUAAAGCGUCCGUAGCUGGCUGUAUCCGUCCCCCGUUAAAUCCAGCGUCCUAAACGUUGGACUGCGGGUGAUACCAUACAGCUAGAGGGUGGGAUAGGUGAGCGGUAUUUCUGGGGUAGGGGCGAAAUCCUUUGAUCCCAGGAGGACCACCAGUGGCGAAGGCUGCUCACUAGAACACGCCUGACGGUCAGGGACGAAAGCUGGGGCAGCGAACCGGAUUAGAUACCCGGGUAGUCCCAGCUGUAAACGAUGCUAGCUAGGUGUUGGGUCGGCCACGUGCCGCCCCAGUGCCGCAGGGAAGCCGUUAAGCUAGCCACCUGGGGAGUACGGCCGCAAGGCUGAAACUUAAAGGAAUUGGCGGGGGAGCAC